GUGGGGAAUAUUGGACAAUGGGCGAAAGCCUGAUCCAGCCAUGCCGCGUGUGUGAAGAAGGUCUUCGGAUUGUAAAGCACUUUAAGUUGGGAGGAAGGGCAGUAAGUUAAUACCUUGCUGUUUUGACGUUACCGACAGAAUAAGCACCGGCUAACUUCGUGCCAGCAGCCGCGGUAAUACGAAGGGUGCAAGCGUUAAUCGGAAUUACUGGGCGUAAAGCGCGCGUAGGUGGUUUUGUAAGUUGGAGGUGAAAUCCCCGUGCUCAACCUGGGAACUGCCUCCAAAACUGCAUGACUAGAGUACGGUAGAGGGUAGUGGAAUUUCCUGUGUAGCGGUGAAAUGCGUAGAUAUAGGAAGUAACACCAGUGGCGAAGGCGACUACCUGGACUGAUACUGACACUGAGGUGCGAAAGCGUGGGGAGCAAACAGGAUUAGAAACCCUGGUAGUCC
rnacentral:rRNA from 1 species